rnacentral:rRNA from 1 species
UACGUAGGUGGCAAGCGUUGUCCGGAUUUAUUGGGUUUAAAGGGUGCGUAGGCGGUUUUGUAAGUCAGUGGUGAAAUACUCCAGCUUAACUGGAGGGGUGCCAAUGAUACUGCAGAACUUGAGUACAGAUGAGGUAGGCGGAAUUGACGGUGUAGCGGUGAAAUGCAUAGAUAUCGUCAAGAACACCGAUAGCGAAGGCAGCUUACUGGGCUGUAACUGACGCUGAAGCACGAAAGUGUGGGGAUCAAACAGG